rnacentral:rRNA from 1 species
UACGGGGGGAGCAAGCGUUGUUCGGAUUUACUGGGCGUAAAGCGUGCGCAGGCGGUUCGUUGUGUCUGAUGUGAAAGCCCCGGGCUUAACCUGGGAAUGGCAUUGGAAACUGGCGAGCUGGAGUGUGGCAGAGGGGGAUGGAAUUCCGCGUGUAGCAGUGAAAUGCGUAGAGAUGCGGAGGAACACCGAUGGCGAAGGCAGCCCCCUGGGCUGACACUGACGCUCAGGCACGAAAGCGUGGGGAGCAAACAGG